AUUGAACGCUGGCGGCAGGCCUAACACAUGCAAGUCGAGCGAGCGGCGGACGGGUGAGUAAUGUCUGGGAAACUGCCUGAUGGAGGGGGAUAACUACUGGAAACGGUAGCUAAUACCGCAUACCAUCAGAUGUGCCCAGAUGGGAUUAGCUAGUAGGUGGGGUAACGGCUCACCUAGGCGACAAUCCCUAGCUGGUCUGAGAGGAUGACCAGCCACACUGGAACCGAGACACGGCCAGGUCUCUUAAGGGAGGCAGAAGUGGGUAAGAUUGAACAAUGGGCGCAAGCCUGAUGCAGCCAUGCCGCGUGUGUGAAGAAGGCCUUCGGGUUGUAAAGCACGUUCAGCGGGGAGGCGUUAACCGCAGAAGAAGCACCGGCUAACUCCGUGCCAGCCGCCGCAGUAAUUC
rnacentral:rRNA from 1 species